GUGAGAACCACCACCUUUUUACUGGAGCUAAAAACUCAGCCACCGUGGCUUGGAGGACAGUUCUGGAGAAGAUGGACCAACAGGGGAAGGUCACACCCUUGCAGGCCCAAAAGAAAAGUGGGACAAUAUGAAAA